GAUGAACGCUGGCGGCGUGCCUAAUACAUGCAAGUCGAGCGAACAGACGAGGAGCUUGCUCCUCUGACGUUAGCGGCGGACGGGUGAGUAACACGUGGAUAACCUACCUAUAAGACUGGGAUAACUUCGGGAAACCGGAGCUAAUACCGGAUAAUAUAUUGAACCGCAUGGUUCAAUAGUGAAAGACGGUUUUGCUGUCACUUAUAGAUGGAUCCGCGCCGCAUUAGCUAGUUGGUAAGGUAACGGCUUACCAAGGCAACGAUGCGUAGCCGACCUGAGAGGGUGAUCGGCCACACUGGAACUGGGACACGGUCCAGACUACUACGGGAGGCAGCAGUAGGGAAUCUUCCGCAAUGGGCGAAAGCCUGACGGAGCAACGCCGCGUGAGUGAUGAAGGUCUUCGGAUCGUAAAACUCUGUUAUUAGGGAAGAACAAAUGUGUAAGUAACUAUGCACGUCUUGACGGUACCUAAUCAGAAAGCCACGGCUAACUACGUG
rnacentral:rRNA from 1 species